AGUGAACGCUGGCGGUAGGCCUAACACAUGCAAGUCGAACGGCAGCACAGUAAGACCUUGCUCUUACGGGUGGCGAGUGGCGGACGGGUGAGGAAUACAACGGAAUCUCCCUUUUCGUGGGGGAUAACGUAGGGAAACUCACGCUAAUACCGCAUACGACCUACCGCUGAAAGCAGGGGAUCUUAGGACCUUGCUCGAUUGAAUGAGCCGAUGUCGGAUUAGCGAGUUGGCGGGGUAAAGGCCCACCAAGGCGACGAUCCGUAGCUGGUCUGAGAGGAUGAUCAGCCACACUGGAACUGGAACACGGUCCAGCCUCCUACGGGAGGAAGCAGUGGGGAUUAUUCGACAAUGGGCAAAAGCCUGCUCCGGACAUACCGCGUGGUUGAAGAAGGCCUUCGGGUUGUAAAGCCCUUUUGUUGGGAAAGAAAGCCAGCAGGUUAAUACCCCGCUGUUCUGACGGUACCCAAAUAAUAAGCACCGGCUAACUUCGUG
rnacentral:rRNA from 1 species